UCCUUCUGAAUCCAUCUUAACGAGAACGGCUUAGGAUGUAGUGUGGUGUCUAAACCACUUUUCUUACUAAUGCCUCUGAAAUCAGUUUUUCUGACUUCCAGGGUCAAUGAUAGCUUUUACAACACUUUGCUUCCCCUGAAUAUUCACAUAAAACAACUCUUCACAGUUGUACAUGUCUUCAAUAUUUGCUGGUCUUGUCAUAAGGGUAAGUGUAACAUUAGAUUGCUUCAAUUCUAGAAGCUCUUCUGCCUUUUGUGCAGUUAAGGUGGCCUUCACAAUAACUUCUUCAAUAGUAUCUACGGUGAACAAUUUCAGUUCUUUC
rnacentral:lncRNA from 1 species